rnacentral:rRNA from 1 species
GACGGAGGAUGCAAGUGUUAUCCGGAAUCACUGGGCGUAAAGCGUCUGUAGGUGGUUUAAAAAGUCUACUGUUAAAAAUUGAAGCUUAACUUCAAAGGUGCCGUAGAAACUUUUAAACUUGAGGGUGGUAGGGGUAGAGGGAAUUUCCAGUGGAGCGGUGAAAUGCGUUGAGAUCGGAAGGAACGCCCGUGGCGAAAGCGAGGUCCUGGACGCCUGCUGACGCUGAGACGCGAAAGCCAGGGUAGCGAACGGG